rnacentral:lncRNA from 1 species
GACGCUCCCUCGCCUCCUCGGCCCUGCCUCCUCCUCGCGGCCCUCUGCACAUGCCUCAAGGACGCCCGGCGCGGCGUCGAGAGGAGAGAAACUCGCCCAGCGCUCCCGUGAACGCGAACCUUCCGGCCAAGAGCUGCGUCUCUCGCCGGGGCUCCGAAGCAGUUGCACCGCCCCGGGCCAGCUUAGGCUGUGCCAAGCUGUGGAACUUCCGUCUGCCCUGCGUGGGGGCUUUUCCUCGCAAGAGCAGCACCAGGCAAAGGACCGCAGCGCUCAGUCCCCAGGGCGGNGGAACAGCAGGCGGGCCGGUGCCAUGCCCAGCCCNUCCAAAGUGGACGCUCCUGCCCUCCGUUCCACGCAGCAGCAAGCACCAGCGAAGUGGGAUUCUCUCCCUUGCUCCUCUUCCCUCUCAGUCCUUGCUUCCUCUCAUAUCGUGUCUCUUCGGCUGUAAGGCAGAAGACAGGGACUUGUCCUGUGCUAUGACGUGUUGGAAGCUACUUUGGAAGACUUUUAGAGGUUCAAGGGUGGGAUAAAAAUCCAGUAAACGUAUUUCACUUAGUGCCUGGGAGUGCGGUGGAAAAAUUCUUGAAACCUUGCCCACAUGAAAAGCUUGCAGAACUUUAAAGGCAAUGUGCAAGGCUGUCAACUGAAACAAAAAGAUCAGCCCAAGAUGCCUUUCCUUGAAAACAGAAAGUGUCCCUUGAGUUACCAAAGCAGCUGUGUGUCCCCCAUCACUACCCCUCUCUUGCUUGGCCACUGCUGACCAAGAGGUUCUGGAUUAGGGGCUGAGCAAUCCUGAAGUUAUGCAAUAGUGCCACCUGGCGGAGACCCCUAUUUCCUUCCUUCUCCAAAUCUAAUGCAUUUUCCCGGGUCCAAGUAUUCAGUAAGAUGUUAAAAGGCCUGCAAUAUAGCUUUGCAGGCUGCUAGUAUCUUCCGUUCUGGGCGUAGCAAGCCCUGAAAUAUUUUGUGUCUGCUGCAUGUGAAGCUCCUCAGGGAAAGAUGGCACGGACACGUUCCCCAUUCCAGGGAGGAAAGAAGGUGCACCGUGGCCUUCUGCUGGGGGACCAGGCGGCUGACUAGCAUUAGGGUUCCCGUGGACAACUCCCUGAUCAUUAAGAGAUGCUGACAAGAAGAACACCGCAGUGCGGGGGGGCGGAGGUCCAAAAUGAUACCAGAGCCCACGCAAGUCCAAAGCCAGCUUGGUCUCUGAACUGAUCAUCCCACGUACCCAAAGCAGCCGUCAAAAAGGGGCAUUGGGCCCUGGCUCCCAAGCCUUUGCCUUUAGGCCCCAUUCCUCGCUCCUGCUUCUCCGGCCUCUGGUUUGGCACAACGUGUGCAAGGGGAUGCUGUUUGGGCAGGCAAGAAAAACCUAAGAACCCCUACACGCUGGUGGGAUCUGAUCAGGUGACCAUUGGCAAGGAAAGCCAUCCUGGG